GGCGAACGGGUGAGUAAUGUAUCGGAACGUACCUUUCAGUGGGGGAUAACGUAGCGAAAGUUACGCUAAUACCGCAUAUUCUGUGAGCAGGAAAGCAGGGGAUCGCAAGACCUUGCGCUGAUUGAGCGGCCGAUAUCAGAUUAGCUAGUUGGUGGGGUAAAGGCCUACCAAGGCUACGAUCUGUAGCGGGUCUGAGAGGAUGAUCCGCCACACUGGGACUGAGACACGGCCCAGACUCCUACGGGAGGCAGCAGUGGGGAAUUUUGGACAAUGGGGGCAACCCUGAUCCAGCCAUGCCGCGUGAGUGAAGAAGGCCUUCGGGUUGUAAAGCUCUUUCGGCCGGGAAGAAAUCGCAUCAGCUAAUACCUGGUGUGGAUGACGGUACCGGGAUAAGAAGCACCGGCUAACUACGUGCCAGCAGCCGCGGUAAUACGUAGGGUGCGAGCGUUAAUCGGAAUUACUGGGCGUAAAGCGUGCGCAGGCGGUUUUUUAAGAUAGGCGUGAAAUCCCCGGGCUUAACCUGGGAACUGCGCUUAUGACUGGAAGACUAGAGUACGGCAGA
rnacentral:rRNA from 1 species